CCUACGGGAGGCAGCAGUGGGGAAUAUUGCGCAAUGGACGAAAGUCUGACGCAGCGACGCCUCGUGAGGGACGAAGGUCUUCGGAUUGUAAACCUCUUUCAGCAGGGACGAAGCGAAAGUGACGGUACCUGCAGAAGAAGCACCGGCUAACUAUGUGCCAGCAGCCGCGGUAAUACAUAGGGUGCAAGCGUUGUCCGGAUUUAUUGGGCGUAAAGAGUUCGUAGGCGGUUUUUCGCGUCGGAUGUGAAAACUCAGGGCUCAACCCUGAGCCUGCAUUCGAUACGGGAAGACUCGAGGACGGCAGGGGAGACUGGAACUUCUGGUGUAGCGGUGGAAUGCGCAGAUAUCAGAAAGAACACCAAUGGCGAAGGCAGGUCUCUGGGCCGAUCCUGACGCUGAGGAACGAAAGCGUGGGGAGCAAACAGGAUUAGAUACCCUGGUAGUCCACGCCGUAAACUAUGGACGCUAGGUGUGGGGAACAUUCCACGUUCUCUGCGCCGCAGCUAACGCAUUAAGCGUCCCGCCUGGGGAGUACGAUCGCAAGAUUAAAACUCAAAGGAAUUGACGG
rnacentral:rRNA from 1 species